rnacentral:rRNA from 1 species
GCAGUAGCCGCGGUAAUACGUAGGUCCCGAGCGUUGUCCGGAUUUAUUGGGCGUAAAGCGAGCGCAGGCGGUUAGAUAAGUCUGAUGUGAAAGCCCCCGGCUCAACCGGGGAGGGUCAUUGGAAACUGGGAAACUUGAGUGCAGAAGAGGAGAGUGGAAUUCCACGUGUAGCGGUGAAAUGCGUAGAGAUGUGGAGGAACACCAGUGGCGAAGGCGACUCUCUGGUCUGUAACUGACGCUGAGGAGCGAAAGCGUGGGGAGCGAACAGGAUUAGAUACCCCUGUAGUCCCUGUCUCUUAUAC